rnacentral:rRNA from 1 species
GGCUCAGAUUGAACGCUGGCGGCAUGCUUUACCUUGCAAGUCGAACGGCAGCACGGACUUCGGUCUGGUGGCGAGUGGCGAACGGGUGAGUAAUACAUCGGAACGUGCCCAGUUGUGGGGGGAUAACUACUCGAAAGAGUAGCUAAUACCGCAUGAGAACUGAGGUUGAAAGCAGGGGAUCGUAAGACCUUGCGCAACUGGAGCGGCCGAUGGCAGAUUAGGUAGUUGGUGGGAUAAAAGCUUACCAAGCCGACGAUCUGUAGCUGGUCUGAGAGGACGACCAGCCACACUGGGACUGGGACACGGCCCAGACUCCUACGGGAGGCAGCAGUGGGGAAUUUUGGACAAUGGGCGAAAGCCUGAUCCAGCAAUGCCGCGUGCAGGAUGAAGGCCCUCGGGCUGUAAACUGCUUUUGUACGGAACGAAAAGCUUCUGGUUAAUACCUGGGAGUCAUGACGGUACCGUAGGAAUAAGCACCGGCUAACUACGUGCCAGCAGCCGCGGUAAUACGUAGGGUGCAAGGCGUUAAUCGGAAUUACUGGGCGUAAAGCGUGCGCAGGCGGUUUUGUAAGACAGUGGUGAAAUCCCCGGGCUCAACCUGGGAACUGCCAUUGUGACUGCAAAGGCUAGAGUGCGGCAGAGGGGGAUGGAAUUCCGCGUGUAGCAGGGAAAUGCGUAGAUAUGCGGAGGAACACCGAUGGCGAAGGCAAUCCCCUGGGCCUGCACUGACGCUCAUGCACGAAAGCGUGGGGAGCAAACAGGAUUAGAUACCCUGGUAGUCCACGCCCUAAACGAUGUCAACUGGUUGUUGGGUCUUAACUGACUCAGUAACGAAGCUAACGCGUGAAGUUGACCGCCUGGGGAGUACGGCCGCAAGGUUGAAACUCAAAGGGAUUGACGGGGACCCGCACAAGCGGUGGAUGAUGUGGUUUAAUUCGAUGCAACGCGAAAAACCUUACCCACCUUUGACAUGUACGGAACCCUUUAGAGAUAGAGGGGUGCUCGAAAGAGAGCCGUAACACAGGUGCUGCAUGGCUGUCGUCAGCUCGUGUCGUGAGAUGUUGGGUUAAGUCCCGCAACGAGCGCAACCCUUGCCAUUAGUUGCUACAUUUAGUUGAGCACUCUAAUGGGACUGCCGGCGACAAACCGGAGGAAGGUGGGGAUGACGUCAAGUCCUCAUGGCCCUUAUAGGUGGGGCUACACACGUCAUACAAUGGCUGGUACAAAGGGUUGCCAACCCGCGAGGGGGAGCUAAUCCCAUAAAGCCAGUCGUAGUCCGGAUCGCAGUCUGCAACUCGACUGCGUGAAGUCGGAAUCGCUAGUAAUCGUGGAUCAGAAUGUCACGGUGAAUACGUUCCAGGGUCUUGCACUCACCGCCCGUCA